rnacentral:rRNA from 1 species
AGAGUUUGAUUCUGGCUCAGGAUGAACGCUGGCGGCGUGCCUAAUACAUGCAAGUCGAACGCAUCACUUCGGUGAUGAGUGGCGAACGGGUGAGUAAAAGAUAAGGAACCUGCCCUAGGCAGGGGGAUAACGACCGGAAACGGACGCUAAAACCGCAUAGGCUGGGAACUCGCAUGAGGAUCCAGUUAAAUAUCCUUUAGGGGAUAGGCAAAGGAGGGACUUAUCACGCAUUAGCUAGUUGGUGGGGUAACGGCCUACCAAGGCGACGAUGCGUAGCCGGCCUGAGAGGGCGGACGGCCACACUGGGACUGAGACACGGCCCAGACUCCUACGGGAGGCAGCAGUAGGGAAUUUUCGGCAAUGGGCGAAAGCCUGACCGAGCAACGCCGCGUGAACGAAGAAGGUCUUCGGAUUGUAAAGUUCUGUUAUAGAGGAAGAAUGGUGUACGAAGGAAAUGGCGUACAAAUGACGGUACUCUGUGAGGAAGCCACGGCUAACUACGUGCCAGCAGCCGCGGUAAUACGUAGGUGGCGAGCGUUAUCCGGAAUCAUUGGGCGUAAAGAGGGAGCAGGCGGCUUGGAGGGUCUAUUG